AAAUAUAGUAGAAAUAUAGUACGAUGAUUAUGAUAAUAUGGACAUGAUACAAUGGCUGAAUGGAUUUAAUAUGAUUCUUUUAAUUAAUCGUGACGCUAGGUUUAUCUCUGCAUCGAAUAAUCAUUUGGAACGUGGAUAUAAGGAUGCUGAGGGUACUCGAUAAUCGAGUGACUUUCGUGACUUCGAGUGAUUUCACUCAACGUCCAACGAACAGCUCGAAGCCGAAUACCAGGAAUAGUAAGAAAUUUCUUCUACACAGAAAGGAGAAGCAAGCUUACCCUUCGUACAAUAAAUAGAAGGAGCUACAUACGUUUUUAAUCGCGAAGAUCGCGGUAAACUUACGAAAUUUGGAAACGUCAAGGGUGUCGUAAGGUUUCUGUGAAUCCUUUUUAUGGAUUCCCGUGAGUCUCGAUUUACUGCCGCUUUUCGUAUUUCUUGUGCGUAUUAAAGGACCUUGCACGACGCAAUCUCAGCGGAAAAUCUUAGCAAUAAAACGUCCAGCUGUUAACCACAACUGGCAUUGAAAAAUUUGGAAAUGUCGUAAAAGUCCAGAUUGUCGAAGUAACACGUGCACGUUGUUCAAGUAACAUCGUAAAAAACAAUUUAGAGGAGACAAUUAUUAUAAUAGAAUUUCUCGAAUAAUUAGUAUGACGUGUGCCAUGUGAAUAAAUAGUCGUGUUUGAUGUGGUAUUAUUAGUUUCCAAUCAAAUUUAACUGUUCUUUUGGCAAUCUACGUAAGAGAUUCAAAGCAAACAAAUCCAUCGACUGUAAGUAUUUAUUAAACAUUUCUAAACUCAAAAUAAAAGAGGGAGAGAGAGAGAGAGAGAGAGAAAGAGAGAGACAGUAACGACUCGCCACUUUUUAUUUUGCUAAUCUAAAAUAAAUUUAUUCAGCAGUUUACCAAGGCCCACCUUUACCUAGUUUGAUGCAAAUGAGAAACGGUAAGUGUUAGCAACACCAUUUCCAAGAAACUUGAGGUACUAUGUCAAACUUAGUUGACACGAGAAGCAACCACUGUACGCUUAACUGACGGUCACGGAAUACAUUACUUCUUGAUACAAUCUUCCUGCUUGAUUUCCCUUUACCUUUGAUUUUCUCCUACCUCUGGAAACCACUUUGGUAUUUAAUAUUAACACAGUUCUUUAGAUGGAACAACUAGCUCUCUCGAUAAACUUAAAUAUAAAUAGAGAACUUUGUUACGAAUUUAAUUUUAGAACAAUUAGUGGAAUGUUUGUCAAUCUGCAUUCAAAGUGAAUAAAAUUCGCGUUAUGGAAUUAUUCCUUUCAUAAAUAAGC
rnacentral:misc_RNA from 1 species